UGCGUGUGCACCUAGCUUUUUGCGUGACCAGGCCUCGGCCUGGCCACUUUUUCUCUCUCACCUCUGUUUGUCGGCCGACCGAAAGUUUUUAGUGCCAAGUUUUAUCAUCACCUUUCUUCAACAUCUGAGCAUCUCCUGUAACCUGGAAGCCUGGGACCUGUGCUAGCCGCAUCUUGCUAAAACCGCAGUUUCCGAACCCCAUUUUGGGGUUUUACCUAUAGGAUCCAAUGUGGAUUUAGACUGCUAUCCUGUGUGAUAUCCUGUUAUCAUGUGCUGAUUUAGAUUGCUGAUUUAGAUCGUUGAUUUUCGUACAUCCUGUUUGUCUGAACAAAACCCUUGGACCGGUUUCACCAUCAGUAUCAUCUUUAGUCUCACCACCAGCUGAGUUUAUUCAUUGUUCUGUCCAACUUUUGUCAGUUUGUAGUCGAAGUUUGUGUCCUUCUGACACCUUCUAGUCCUAUCGGACCCCAGCCGAUUGUUUAGACCGAACUCACUCUGAGUAGUCUAAGUAGGAUCUGAAUCAGCCCAAAUUUCUGUGAUAAUUUAUUCAAUGCUCAAAGUUCUGUGAUUGCGUGAUAUAUGUUUCUGUGAUAGGUAUCAAGGCCACCGAGCCCUUUCUCAAUAAAGUUUGUUUGUAUUAAAGUU